UACGGAGGGUGCAAGCGUUAAUCGGAAUUACUGGGCGUAAAGCGCACGCAGGUGGCUGAGCAAGUCGAUUGUGAAAGCCCUGGGCUUAACCUGGGAAUUGCAGUCGAAACUACUCGGCUAGAGUAUGGGAGAGGGUAGUGGAAUUCCCGGUGUAGCGGUGAAAUGCGUAGAUAUCGGGAGGAACAUCAGUGGCGAAGGCGGCUACCUGGCCCAAUACUGACACUCAGGUGCGACAGCGUGGGGAGCAAACAGG
rnacentral:rRNA from 1 species